rnacentral:rRNA from 1 species
CCAAUAGCGUAUAUUAAAGUUGUUGCAGUUAAAAAGCUCGUAGUUGAAUUUCGGGAUCAAUAUAUCGGUCGUGCCAUUGGUACGUACUGGUAUCAUUGGUUUCUCCUUUCUGACGAACCAUGAUGUCAUUAAUUUGGUGUUAUGGGAAGUUAGGACUGUUACUUUGAAAAAAUUAGAGUGUUUAAAGCAGGCAUUAGCUUGAAUACAUUAGCAUGGAAUAAUGAAAUAGGACGUUUGACCUUAUUUUGUUGGUUUCUAGGAUCGACGUAAUGAUUAAUAGGGAUAGUUGGGGGCAUUAGUAUUCAAUUGUCAGAGGUGAAAUUCUUGGAUUUAUUGAAGACUAACUACUGCGAAAGCAUUUGCCAAGGAUGUUUUCAUUAAUCAAGAACGAAAGUUAGGGGAUCGAAGACGAUCAGAUACCGUCGUAGUCUUAACCAUAAACUAUGCCGACUAGGGAUCGGAUGAUGUUAAUUUUUUAAUGACUCAUUCGGCGCCUUACG